CAUUCUUUUUGUUUUACCUACAUUCAUCUACGUGGAAGAGGGACACUUGGACCCAAAGGAAUCUUUUCAGAGCUCAAGCGAAGAGAUCAUGGCACCUGUAGCCAUUUUGCUGCAGUACAUAUAAGUAGUGGUGGUUAAUGAGAUUGUUGCUGCUGCUGCUGCAUGGAUGAAAACCUGUUUUCUGCUCCUUGAAGGAGAACUGCUAACGAGGUUCUGAGCACUGCAACUUCCAUUAACUCUUGAACACAAGGCCUCAAGAUACUUGCUUAGGACCCUACAGAUCUUGGGAACUGAACACAGAUCUUCUGAGUCCCGGCCCAAUGCCUUGGCUACUAGACCACUCUUCUUCUCCAUCAUGGGACUUAGCGAUGCUAGUCAAUGCUAUACAUUGCAGGCGUGUGGGAAAGUGUUCGAGGGUGUUCUCUGGUAUAUGGAACAUGAGGCCAGCCAGUGCAUUUUAUCUGACGCCGUGCACUGGGCCACAGAGAGAAAUGGACAGAAAUCUGUAGUUCAGAUAUCUGCUGAAACCCUUGAUCUUCUGGGAGAGAUGCCUAUUGUUCUGCCAUACCGCUGUUACACCACUAAUAAACCAUCCUCUCCAUUUUUGGUA